rnacentral:rRNA from 1 species
GGCUCAGAACGAACGCUGGCGGCGUGCUUAACACAUGCAAGUCGAACGCGAAAGGGACUUCGGUCCUGAGUAAAGUGGCGCACGGGUGAGUAACGCGUAGAUAACCUGUCUUCAUGUCUGGAAUAAUACGCCGAAAGGGGUACUAAUACCGGAUAUUCUUGCUUUUCAUAAGUUAUGCAAGCAAAGGUGGCCUCUGCAUAUGCUACUGCAUGAAGAGGGGUCUGCGUACCAUUAGCUAGUAGGUGGGGUAAUGGCCUACCUAGGCGACGAUGGUUAGCGGGUCUGAGAGGAUGAUCCGCCACACUGGCACUGGAACACGGGCCAGACUCCUACGGGAGGCAGCAGUGAGGAAUAUUGCGCAAUGGGGGAAACCCUGACGCAGCGACGCCGCGUGAAGUGAGGAAGGCCUUCGGGUCGUAAAGCUCUGUCAAGAGGAAAGAAGUGUACAAUGGCUAAUACCUGUUGUAUUUGACGGUACCUCUAAAGGAAGCACCGGCUAACUCCGUGCCAGCAGCCGC